rfam:Schistosoma margrebowiei strain Zambia genome assembly, scaffold: SMRZ_contig0000497
GCACUGCUGAGGAGUCCCACGAUAGGACGAAACGGCCGUCCACUGC